GAGAGCUUCAUCCAGCCCCAAGCACCCCAGGGGACUGUGUAUUUCAGCUCGAAAAUUCCGGUGACCGUUGUUGACAGUGGAUACAGCAAAACUGAAAUACUCGAUCCAGACCGAUAUUUUGAUGGCUUGGAGAAUGACUGAUGGUGACUGGGGAG